rnacentral:rRNA from 1 species
CAUGCAGUCGGACGGUAGCACAGAGGAGCUUGCUCCUCGGGUGACGAGUGGCGGACGGGUGAGUAAUGUCUGGGGAUCUGCCCGAUAGAGGGGGAUAACCACUGGAAACGGUGGCUAAUACCGCAUAACGUCGCAAGACCAAAGAGGGGGACCUUCGGGCCUCUCACUAUCGGAUGAACCCAGAUGGGAUUAGCUAGUAGGCGGGGUAACGGCCCACCUAGGCGACGAUCCCUAGCUGGUCUGAGAGGAUGACCAGCCACACUGGAACUGAGACACGGUCCAGACUCCUACGGGAGGCAGCAGUGGGGAAUAUUGCACAAUGGGCGCAAGCCUGAUGCAGCCAUGCCGCGUGUAUGAAGAAGGCCUUCGGGUUGUAAAGUACUUUCAGCGGGGAGGAAGGCAAUGAGGUUAAUAACCUUGCUGAUUGACGUUACCCGCAGAAGAAGCACCGGCUAACUCCGUGCCAGCAGCCGCGGUAAUACGGAGGGUGCAAGCGUUAAUCGGAAUUACUGGGCGUAAAGCGCACGCAGGCGGUCUGUUAAGUCAGAUGUGAAAUCCCCGGGCUUAACCUGGGAACUGCAUUUGAAAC